CCAAUAUACAUAUAGGUACAUACACAUACAUACAUGCAUAAAUACAUAUAUAUAUACACACACACAUCGAUAUAUAUUUUACAGACUUCUCUGUGUCCUUCGAGGUAUUGAGCUUGCUGUUUCCAGCUCCGCUAGCAUGUUGUACAACAUGAUCAUUGGAGUGGUUACCUUGAAGGUUGGAUGAAUUAUCGUUCUGUUAUCAGAUUUUUAUGUGAAUAAUUCGAAAUAUAUAUUUCAAAAUAUCGAACUGAAUUCAUCUUCAAUUAAUCAAAACUACAGCUGUUCAUCAAGGACUGUUUUAAUCAAUAUACAUACACCUAUAAGAAAAAAUACAUAUAAUUGGAACAAUUUGGAGCUAAAAUCCGGAUUAAGGUUCCAUGAAGUCAAAAUUAACAAAACUAUAUGAAGAUAAUUGGAAUCAUUAACAGAACUUUGGUAUUCAACAGACUCACCGGCAGAGGAGAGAGCGCGAGCUUGCUUGGAUCGUUGCGUCUCAUUCUUGCUCGCAUGAAAAUUGCUAAAACUUUCUUGUUCAUAUCUCAUCAAAUUUCGAAAAAGAAAAAAACAGAGAGAGAGAGAGAGAGAGAGAGAGUAAACGUUGAGCUCACACUUUCCUCGACUACUUGUUUCUCGUCGACGCCAGGCGAAACGAUUUCAGUUGCUUGAUCCUUUUACCUUCCUCGAAACGCUGCCGUUUUGGUUUUGAGUGAACGGCGUCGUCUCAAUUAGCUCUCUUUCUUUUUUUUUUUUUAAGGAACGGCGUCGUGUCGUC
rnacentral:lncRNA from 1 species